GUGGGUUAGAAGAUCUAGGUUGGAAUCCCAACACUUCCAACCCAGAUCUUCUAACCCAAUG
rnacentral:pre_miRNA from 1 species